rnacentral:rRNA from 1 species
UGGGGAAUAUUGCACAAUGGGCGCAAGCCUGAUGCAGCCAUGCCGCGUGUGUGAAGAAGGCCUUCGGGUUGUAAAGCACUUUCAGCGAGGAGGAAGGUGGUGAGCUUAAUACGCUCAUCAAUUGACGUUACUCGCAGAAGAAGCACCGGCUAACUCCGUGCCAGCAGCCGCGGUAAUACGGAGGGUGCAAGCGUUAAUCGGAAUUACUGGGCGUAAAGCGCACGCAGGCGGUUUGUUAAGUCAGAUGUGAAAUCCCCGGGCUCAACCUGGGAACUGCAUUUGAAACUGGCAAGCUAGAGUCUCGUAGAGGGGGGUAGAAUUCCAGGUGUAGCGGUGAGAUGCGUAGAGAUCUGGAGGAAUACCGGUGGCGAAGGCGGCCCCCUGGACGAAGACUGACGCUCAGGUGCGAAAGCGUGGGGAGCAAACAGGAUUAGAUACCCGUGGUAGUCCACGCUGUAAACGAUGUCGAUUUUGGAGGUUGUGCCCUUGAGGCGUGGCUUCCGGAGCUAACGCGUUAAAUCGACCGCCUGGGGAGUACGGCCGCAAGGUUAAAACUCAAAGGAAUUGACGGGGUCAUAGCUG